UCGACAAACAAACGGAUGGCGGCGGCUGCGGGCACCCCGGAUCGGGGCCGCGGGGGCACGGAGCCGCUGCGGAGCCCCCUGGCUCUGGGUUUCUUCCCGCACAGCCCGCCAGGGCCGCCCCUCACCCCGCUCUCUCCCUCCGCGCCCCGGCGGCAGGACUCGCCUCAGGGCGGCGCGCGGCCCGCACCCUCCCGCGCAGGCGCGCGCCGCCGCCGCUCCCGCGCUUGUCCCUCGCGCGCCGCCGUAGGAGGAAGCCGAGCGCGCGGGGGGGCCGCGGCGUGAGGGGCCCGUAGGCCGUGGCUGGUGGGAGAAGUCCGUGCCUAAUUGCCACCAAUGGUGCCCCGUGUGAGACGGAGCGAUUAACGAGGUUUGACGGGUGUCAAGCCCCACAGAACUUAAGUGCUGCUGAAAGGAAGCAGGAGCCGACUUCAGGCAUCUCUUCAAGAGAGUGUCGUUAGGUGACUCCCCUGGAGCAGGUGUUCUGCCCGGUGUGGUCCUGUUCUCGUACGCGACUGGGGCUGACACUCCGUCAAGUGAAGAAGUUUGUAUAUACACAAUGUGUAGACGUAAGGAACGGGACCUCGGUGGGUUCCAGCCCGGUGUGUGCGCCCUUACAGGCAACAGCAAAGCCAAAAGGAUUGAAUGCGUCUGCUAUCCUGGUUCGGUCUAUGGAGUCCCAACGAGCAGGCAUGGACGCAGUUGUGGAAGAAGAUCAAAGCACAGUGAGAAAACUAUACCAGGAAGAACAGGGAGUCCGCAUGUGCUCUUGAGAACAAGGACUCUCUUGCUGCCAAGGAUAAGUUUAGCAAUGCUACUGGUACAGCUAUUUCUGAGUUAUUGCUGAUGGAGAUAGUAGUCGACAUGCGACGCUGCAAAACAGAGCUGCUAUUGACUUUUUGCUUUCAGCUCACAGACAUGGUUGUCAAGAUUUUAAAGGACUGUGUUGUAUGAAUCUAAGUGACCACUCCAAAUCCAUCCAUGCCCAGUUGCAAGAACGGCACCGACCCAACCAGCAACUUGUGGAGACCACUGGGUGCAAUCUUUUUUGGAUGGACUUGGGGGUGGGGUUGGUUGAAGCAAAUUGUACUCGUUUGCCUGUGUGGAAGGAAUUUGUCUGUUAUGUUUAGUACGCUGUUUGCCGUGUUUAAUAAGCAUUAUACGAUCAGUUGUAGAUGCCGCUUUGCAUCGUACCCUGGUACGAGUUGUAGAAUAUGUUGCUGUAAAAACUGCGUGUGUAUCCAUGAGAACCUGGCCUUCACAGAAGAAGAUAACAAGAAGGGAUUGCAACAAUGUGGUCACGUAUCAGACAGCCGCCGUUAGCAAAGCCGGAUCACGAGUCUGGUGGGACUCGCUGCAUGCGCUGGCCACACGUGCAGCGACUCUAGCCUGUACUUCUCCACUCAAUCCGGUGCAGGAUAUAAGGGGUCUGUCUCGGGCCGGAGAGAGGGAGAGAGAAAUGAGCGCACUUUGAAGAUACAGGGGACGCCCUGGAGCGCUGUCUCUGUCGUCCCCCCCCUCCCAUAAGUUCUAUGUUCAUUAACCCCAACAGCUCAGAAGGCAUUACAGCACGUUGCAGGUAAGAUAUAGUCUACUACUGCUGCAAGACACGUUGAACACCUUCCUACAAGAGUUUCAACCUUACGCCCUGAUAGGACAGUGGGAUGAUGCACUCGCAAAGAGCCCGACUGCAUUAGAGUGGGUAGUUUUGCCACGUACCUUUUCCAAAACAGUAACUAUGAUGACUGAAAUGUUACCACGAUUGUUUUCCCAGGGUCGUUUGUGCUGUCAGCAGCUUUCUGGAAUGGAUCCAAGCCACAUACAUGUCCCUGUCAAAAAGGACGACCUUGACCCUUGGUUAUCACAAAGUCUUAACCUACAGAUUGCCUCAGUAGAUUAUAUUGGGCAAAUAAAUUAUUCUCUCCCCUGCCUUUAGAGCCACAGGAGGUUGGUAUUCUAGGCUAAAUUCAGAUGGAUGCUCGUAAGUGUUUUAACUUUGCCAAAUGCUCUCGAAACGCAACAUAUCUCCAAAAGGUCACCCCUCUUGAUUACCGGGUACACUUUUGUCAGCCACCUGUGGUUGCCAUUUCUUCUUUCUCUGCUCCCGGUGUGGCUUCUGCAAAAGCGCUAACGCUCUUAAAAAAAGCUAGGUUGUUGGCUUGUGGAACAAAGUAAGGCUACUUCAGUAGCUCUUCCUGGCCUUUUAUUAGAUGUAGAUUCAGUACGCCAUGCAACUCUGUAAAAUAGAGCAGCCGUCAAUUUUCUGUUAUUAGCGCAUGGCCAUGGAUGUGAAGAUUUUGAUGGCACGUGCUGUAUGAAUUUAUCAGACCACUCUGAAUCAAUCCAUAAAAGUAUACAACAGUUAGAGCAAAAUGUGCAGAAAUUACGAAUGGGGGGAAGUUGGGGAUGGCUGGAUAACCUUUUUAACAGUUGGGGCUUAACGGGAUGGUUGCAAUCAGCUCUAAAAUUCUUGCUUUUUUGUAUAAGCAUAUUCUUGUGCAUUAUGCUUUGUAUUCCCUGUGUGCUACGGUGUGCGCAGCGUCUUACAGAUAAAACCUUGGCCACUGUUUUUGUAGUAAAUGAAGAAGGGGGAAUUGUGGAUGCCGAAGGACGUGCGGACGCAGCACCUGGAACGAGCCCUGGAGUUCUCAUCGCUCUCCCUGGCGGCAAAGCGUGGGAUAAGUAAACCAUCCCUAGCUACACAGCACCUGGGCCAUAGAAUCAUAGAAUCAUUUAGGUUGGAAAAGACCCUUGGGAUCAUUGAGUCCGAGCAUCGGCUCCACUCUACGAAGUUCUCCCUUACUCCCUUAACACCACAUCUAAACGAGUCUUAAACACAUUCAGGGAUGGUGACUCAGCCCUUCAUGCGGUUCUCAUCCUCCUUGUUUGGUUUAGUUAUGUUUUAAUGUUGCAGACUUAGAGGGGCGAUUUGGUGUGCUGUCUCCAUUUGGAAGGGAAAGUGAUUUUCAGAUUUUCAGAUGCGAUGCAUUUAACAGGACACAA